AUAUAUCAGUUAACGUUUAUUUGAUAGUACCUUACUACUUGGAUAACCGUGGUAAUUCUAGAGCUAAUACAUGCUAAAAACCCCAACUUCGGGAGGGGUGUAUUUAUUAGAUAAAAAACCAAUGCCCUCCGGGGCUCUUUGGUGAUUCAUGAUAACUUAACGGAUCGCAUGGCCUUGCGCCGGCGACGGUUCAUUCAAAUUUCUGCCCUAUCAACUUUCGAUGGUAAGGUAUUGGCUUACCAUGGUUUCAACGGGUAACGGGGAAUUAGGGUUCGAUUCCGGAGAGGGAGCCUGAGAAACGGCUACCACAUCCAAGGAAGGCAGCAGGCGCGCAAAUUACCCAAUCCCGACUCGGGGAGGUAGUGACAAUAAAUACUGAUACAGGGCUCUUUUGGGUCUUGUAAUCGGAAUGAGUACAAUUUAAACCCCUUAACGAGGAACAAUUGGAGGGCAAGUCUGGUGCCAGCAGCCGCGGUAAUUCCAGCUCCAAUAGCGUAUAUUAAAGUUGUUGCAGUUAAAAAGCUCGUAGUUGAACCUUGGGCCUGGCUGGCCGGUCCGCCUCACCGCGUGUACUGGUCCGGCCGGGCCUUUCCUUCUGGAGAGCCGCAUGCCCUUCACUGGGUGUGUCGGGGAACCAGGACUUUUACUUUGAAAAAAUUAGAGUGUUCAAAGCAGGCCUUUGCUCGAAUACGUUAGCAUGGAAUAAUAGAAUAGGACGUGCGGUCCUAUUUUGUUGGUUUCUAGGACCGCCGUAAUGAUUAAUAGGGAUAGUCGGGGGCAUCAGUAUUCAAUUGUCAGAGGUGAAAUUCUUGGAUUUAUUGAAGACUAACUACUGCGAAAGCAUUUGCCAAGGAUGUUUUCAUUAAUCAGUGAACGAAAGUUAGGGGAUCGAAGACGAUCAGAUACCGUCGUAGUCUUAACCGUAAACUAUGCCGACUAGGGAUC
rnacentral:rRNA from 1 species